GUUAUAUGGUCAAGUGAAGAAGCGCAUACGGUGGAUGCCUUGGCAGUCAGAGGCGAUGAAAGACGUGGUAGCCUGCGAAAAGCUUCGGGGAGUCGGCAAACAGACUUUGAUCCGGAGAUCUCUGAAUGGGGGAACCCACCUAGGAUAACCUAGGUAUCUUGUACUGAAUCCAUAGGUGCAAGAGGCGAACCAGGGGAACUGAAACAUCUAAGUACCCUGAGGAAAAGAAAUCAACCGAGAUUCCCUUAGUAGUGGCGAGCGAACGGGGAUUAGCCCUUAAGCUUCAUUGAUUUUAGCGGAACGCUCUGGAAAGUGCGGCCAUAGUGGGUGAUAGCCCCGUACGCGAAAGGAUCUUUGAAGUGAAAUCGAGUAGGACGGAGCACGAGAAACUUUGUCUGAACAUGGGGGGACCAUCCUCCAAGGCUAAAUACUACUGACUGACCGAUAGUGAACCAGUACCGUGAGGGAAAGGCGAAAAGAACCCCGGAGAGGGGAGUGAAAUAGAACCUGAAACCGUAUGCGUACAAGCAGUGGGAGCCUACUUGUUAGGUGACUGCGUACCUUUUGUAUAAUGGGUCAGCGACUUAUAUUCAGUGGCAAGCUUAACCGUAUAGGGUAGGCGUAGCGAAAGCGAGUCUUAAUAGGGCGUUUAGUCGCUGGGUAUAGACCCGAAACCGGGCGAUCUAUCCAUGAGCAGGUUGAAGGUUAGGUAACACUGACUGGAGGACCGAACCCACUCCCGUUGAAAAGGUAGGGGAUGACUUGUGGAUCGGAGUGAAAGGCUAAUCAAGCUCGGAGAUAGCUGGUUCUCCUCGAAAGCUAUUUAGGUAGCGCCUCAUGUAUCACUCUGGGGGGUAGAGCACUGUUUCGGCUAGGGGGUCAUCCCGACUUACCAAACCGAUGCAAACUCCGAAUACCCAGAAGUGCCGAGCAUGGGAGACACACGGCGGGUGCUAACGUCCGUCGUGAAAAGGGAAACAACCCAGACCGCCAGCUAAGGUCCCAAAGUUGUGGUUAAGUGGUAAACGAUGUGGGAAGGCUUAGACAGCUAGGAGGUUGGCUUAGAAGCAGCCAUCCUUUAAAGAAAGCGUAAUAGCUCACUAGUCGAGUCGGCCUGCGCGGAAGAUGUAACGGGGCUCAAACCACACACCGAAGCUGCGGGUGUCACGUAAGUGACGCGGUAGAGGAGCGUUCUGUAAGCCUGUGAAGGUGAGUUGAGAAGCUUGCUGGAGGUAUCAGAAGUGCGAAUGCUGACAUGAGUAACGACAAUGGGUGUGAAAAACACCCACGCCGAAAGACCAAGGGUUCCUGCGCAACGUUAAUCGACGCAGGGUUAGUCGGUUCCUAAGGCGAGGCUGAAAAGCGUAGUCGAUGGGAAACAGGUUAAUAUUCCUGUACUUCUGGUUACUGCGAUGGAGGGACGGAGAAGGCUAUGCCAGCUUGGCGUUGGUUGUCCAAGUUUAAGGUGGUAGGCUGAAAUCUUAGGUAAAUCCGGGGUUUCAAGGCCGAGAGCUGAUGACGAGUCGUCUUUUAGAUGACGAAGUGGUUGAUGCCAUGCUUCCAAGAAAAGCUUCUAAGCUUCAGGUAACCAGGAACCGUACCCCAAACCGACACAGGUGGUCGGGUAGAGAAUACCAAGGCGCUUGAGAGAACUCGGGUGAAGGAACUAGGCAAAAUGGCACCGUAACUUCGGGAGAAGGUGCGCCGGCUAGGGUGAAGGAUUUACUCCGUAAGCUCUGGCUGGUCGAAGAUACCAGGCCGCUGCGACUGUUUAUUAAAAACACAGCACUCUGCAAACACGAAAGUGGACGUAUAGGGUGUGACGCCUGCCCGGUGCCGGAAGGUUAAUUGAUGGGGUUAGCGCAAGCGAAGCUCUUGAUCGAAGCCCCGGUAAACGGCGGCCGUAACUAUAACGGUCCUAAGGUAGCGAAAUUCCUUGUCGGGUAAGUUCCGACCUGCACGAAUGGCGUAACGAUGGCGGCGCUGUCUCCACCCGAGACUCAGUGAAAUUGAAAUCGCUGUGAAGAUGCAGUGUAUCCGCGGCUAGACGGAAAGACCCCGUGAACCUUUACUGUAGCUUUGCACUGGACUUUGAGCCUGCUUGUGUAGGAUAGGUGGGAGGCUUUGAAGCGUGGACGCCAGUUCGCGUGGAGCCAUCCUUGAAAUACCACCCUGGCAUGCUUGAGGUUCUAACUCUGGUCCGUAAUCCGGAUCGAGGACAGUGUAUGGUGGGCAGUUUGACUGGGGCGGUCUCCUCCUAAAGAGUAACGGAGGAGUACGAAGGUGCGCUCAGACCGGUCGGAAAUCGGUCGCAGAGUAUAAAGGCAAAAGCGCGCUUGACUGCGAGACAGACACGUCGAGCAGGUACGAAAGUAGGUCUUAGUGAUCCGGUGGUUCUGUAUGGAAGGGCCAUCGCUCAACGGAUAAAAGGUACUCCGGGGAUAACAGGCUGAUACCGCCCAAGAGUUCAUAUCGACGGCGGUGUUUGGCACCUCGAUGUCGGCUCAUCACAUCCUGGGGCUGAAGCCGGUCCCAAGGGUAUGGCUGUUCGCCAUUUAAAGUGGUACGCGAGCUGGGUUUAGAACGUCGUGAGACAGUUCGGUCCCUAUCUGCCGUGGACGUUUGAGAUUUGAGAGGGGCUGCUCCUAGUACGAGAGGACCGGAGUGGACGAACCUCUGGUGUUCCGGUUGUCACGCCAGUGGCAUUGCCGGGUAGCUAUGUUCGGAAAAGAUAACCGCUGAAAGCAUCUAAGCGGGAAACUUGCCUCAAGAUGAGAUCUCACUGGGAACUUGAUUCCCCUGAAGGGCCGUCGAAGACUACGACGUUGAUAGGCUGGGUGUGUAAGCGUUGUGAGGCGUUGAGCUAACCAGUACUAAUUGCCCGUGAGGCUUGACCAUAUAACACCCAAACA
rnacentral:rRNA from 1 species